CGAAUGGCGUAACGAUGGCCACACUGUCUCCACCCGAGACUCAGCGAAGUUGAAAUGUUUGUGAUGAUGCAAUCUCCCCGCGGAAAGACGGAAAGACCCCAUGAACCUUUACUGUAGCUUUACAUUGGACUUUGAACAGAUCUGUGUAGGAUAGGUGGGAGGCUUUGAAGUAAGGUCGCUAGAUCUUAUGGAGCCGACGUUGAAAUACCACCCUGGUGUGUUUGAGGUUCUAACCUUGGCCCGUGAUCCGGGUUGGGGACAGUGUAUGGUGGGCAGUUUGACUGGGGCGGUCUCCUCCCAAAGCGUAACGGAGGAGUUCGAAGGUACGCUAGUUACGGUCGGAAAUCGUGACGAUAGUGCAUUGGCAUAAGCGUGCUUGACUGCGAGACUGACAAGUCGAGCAGGUACGAAAGUAGGACAAAGUGAUCCGGUGGUUCUGUAUGGAAGGGCCAUCGCUCAACGGAUAAAAGGUACUCUGGGGAUAACAGGCUGAUACCGCCCAAGAGUUCAUAUCGACGGCGGUGUUUGGCACCUCGAUGUCGGCUCAUCUCAUCCUGGGGCUGUAGCCGGUCCCAAGGGUAUGGCUGUUCGCCAUUUAAAGAGGUACGUGAGCUGGGUUUAAAACGUCGUGAGACAGUUUGGUCCCUAUCUUCCGUGGGCGCUGCAAGAUUGAGAGAGCCUGCUCCUAGUACGAGAGGACCGGAGUGGACGAACCUCUGGUGUUCCGGUUGUCACGCCAGUGGCAUUGCCGAGUAGCUAAGUGCGGAA
rnacentral:rRNA from 13 species